AGCAGGAGUGUUUUAUUAGGUUUAAAGCCACGAGCGCGCAGCGCGAGUGGCUUUAGACCUAAUAAAACACGACUUGCGAGUUUUUUAAAUGACUUCAAAAACGUUUGCAUAAUAAGUCAAAUCUUUAUAUAAAAAUCUUUAUAUAAAAAUCUUUAUAUAGUUUGCAUAACAAUGGUCUAUUGUUAAAGUGUUCUUUAUAGCUGGUAUAA
rnacentral:lncRNA from 1 species